rnacentral:lncRNA from 1 species
GACAAAAGCACCUUUUGUAUUCAGCAAAUGGAACAGUUUAAAAGAGAGAAUUUGAAAGAUGAUGCCUUUGAGAGUCUUCAUAGCUGGCGGGAGUGGGAAUGGAGGCUCAGUACCUAAGGGAGGAGUGGCUCCCAAGGGCUGGAAUAGCAAUAGAUUUCUUCUGAGACGAAAAAGCCCCAAGGACCAUUCUGUCAAAAAUGAGAAACUUAAGUAAAUUAACAAGGAAACAAUAAAGAGAAGAUGUUGUUUGAAGGGAGUGACAAAGGGAAUUGUGAAGCAAGACCUUUAACAUCUGGGGUGCAAGGAACAAGUGUGUCAGAGCCUACAAGAGUUUGGGAAGAGUGUUUACAUUUCAGCUGCUCUGCUUACCUUCAGAAGUGUAGAGAAGCAAAAUAUACCCAGGCUGAGUGUGAAGAAACCCCAAAUUGGCUAGAAUAUAGCAAAGGGAAUUCAGAGUGGUUUAUCUGGUUGGAAAAUUCUCUGGGCAAAACAGUCUUGUUUUGCUGCUGGACACUGUAAUCCAAGACUGGAAAACAGACUGAUGAAAGGGUGAAAAUCUUUUCUCAACAGAAGAGUUGGUUAAGAGUGUUAAGACCAGGUAAGAAUAGUUUGGGUAUUUAAAAAAAAACACAAAGAUAGAAAUUCCUGGUCCUGUUUCUUAUUGUUCAGUCAUGUCUUACUCUUCAUGAUGCCAUUUGGGGCUUUCUUGGCAAAGCUACUGGAAUGAUAUCUUGCUAUUUUCUUCUCCAGCUCAUUUUUGCAGCUGAGAAAAUCGAGGCAAACAGGGUUAAUUGGCUUGACCAAAGUCACACAAUUAAUCAGUACCUGGUUUGAACUCACAAGGAUAAGUCUUACUAACUGCAGACUGGCCCUCUAGCCAGUGUACCACCUAGCUGCCAAUGGCAAUGACAAUAACAAAGAACGGUUUGGACAUUUAAAAAAAAGGGAUUAAAGUUCACUUUGCUGAAUUGUGUUUCCAGAGGAUGUAAUUCCUAUCUCUGAUUUAUUUGUUUUUAGGGGGAAUGCAUAGUAUUUCUCUUCAUCUGGGGUCCCCACAAUCAUGACUUUACCCUCCUUCCAGUUUCUACUUUGCCUGAUCCCUGCCUGUCCCAGCUCAGGCAGUCAAGAG